GAUGAACGCUAGCUACAGGCUUAACACAUGCAAGUCGAGGGACCGGCGCACGGGUGAGUAACACGUAUCCAACCUGCCCUUUACUCGGGGAUAGCCUUUCGAAAGAAAGAUUAAUACCCGAUAUAAAGGAUGGGGAUGCGUUCAAUUAGGUUGUUGGUGAGGUAACGGCUCACCAAGCCUUCGAUGGAUAGGGGUUCUGAGGGGAAGGUACCCCACAUUGGAACUGAGACACGGUCCAAACUGCUACGGGAGAGAGGAGUGGGGUAGAUUAGGCGAUCAGCGCUAGCCUGGACCAGCCAAGUAGCGGGAAGGAUGAAGGCUUAUGAGUCGUAAACUUGUUGUAUAUAAGAAUAGGUAUUAUAUGAAUAAGCACCGGCUAACUCCGUGCCAGCAGCCGCGGUAAUAC
rnacentral:rRNA from 1 species